CGAAGACCAAAUCUCAGUGAAGUUUCUAGCGACUGAAUUACCCGUGGCUACCAUCUAUGGGUAAUGCAAGGGAACUGCGGGAAUAACAGCAAGCAGUCGUGACCAGGUUAAUACAGAAAUAAUUGCAAAACAGCUGUGGAGGGAAUAUGCUUUGCACAGCCUGUUGUAGAUCUUCCUGUGCAAGAUAAUUCUUCGACUGCUAAGACCACCUUUCUCUUGGUUUGGGUAAAGUUCAAUAUGAUGAAAUAAAUAGAGAUUCCAAGAGAGGUUCUGAUAUGUAAGCAUGAAAACAAUGACUUUGUUCUCCUUUACUUACAGCAUUGCUUCAUAUGCUUCUAGGUGAGUUACAGCUGGGUAAGUGUUAUGAUAAUAAAUUUAAUGCUUUUUUUAACUCAUUUGGUGUGGAAUUUAUGCUUGUUUUCUGACUUUGUGCCUGAUCUGCAUACUGUUGGUGAUGUGGCUGGAGCACUCCCAGCAGGUGACACUAGUGCCAUAUGAGCUGAUGAGGACAUAUAGUAAGCAAGUCUAACAACUAUGCAAAAGCUCAUGCUAGCUUGCAAAGCUCAGGUGGCUGAGACAGUUGGGUUGAAUGGGUAGAGAUCUAUCUGACACUCUGCAGUUUUAAAGGUUAUUUUUUCAUUUGCUAUCUUUGUGCAGACUUGCAAGAGGUAUUUAACUGCAGGCUUAUCAUUUCUUGUGAUGAAACAUUGGUGUCCCUGAGCACAACUGCCCAGCAACGAGCAGCAAAGUGGGGGAGCACUGGUUACCUGCAGAUCACCCUGACUCCUCUGAGGACUGUCAAAGAAGAGAAACUUUUGCAUUUUGAUAGGAAGGAAAGCCUUACAGAUAACAGAACAACUGAGUUUGAACGGAUGUCUGGAGCACUCCUGGAAGCAGUAUGUGUUCUGGGAAAAGCAUAAGAAAAAGAAAGAAGUAAAUCAGGCAAAUCAGACCUGCUUGGAAAUGUGAGUAUUCACAUUUUUGUAGAGAAGUAAAAAAAUUGUUUUAUUCCCAAACAAGGUUUAAUA
rnacentral:lncRNA from 1 species